rnacentral:misc_RNA from 1 species
UUUCCGUAGGUGAACCUGCGGGAGGAUCAUUAAUGAGUUGUCAUGGGGUUCGAUGCUGGCAGCCAGUUUUUGGAUGCAUGUGCUUGCCCUAACAAUCAUCUUCUUCCAAACACCUGUGCACAUUUUUGAGGGAGUCUUGAGUUGGUUGCCGCUCUUGGGUGAUUUUCUCACAUUCCCUUAAAUCAUUAUACGCUAUUAACAAUGUUGAACGUGCUCUGUGCCGCAAGGCCAUUAAUAUAAUACAACUUUUAACAACGGAUCUCUUGGCUCUC